rnacentral:rRNA from 1 species
AUUGAACGCUGGCGGCAGGCCUAACACAUGCAAGUCGAGCGGAUGAAGGGAGCUUGCUCCUGGAUUCAGCGGCGGACGGGUGAGUAAUGCCUAGGAAUCUGCCUGGUAGUGGGGGAUAACGUCCGGAAACGGGCGCUAAUACCGCAUACGUCCUGAGGGAGAAAGUGGGGGAUCUUCGGACCUCACGGUAUCAGAUGAGCCUAGGUCGGAUUAGCUAGUUGGUGGGGUAAAGGCCUACCAAGGCGACGAUCCGUAACUGGUCUGAGAGGAUGAUCAGUCACACUGGAACUGAGACACGGUCCAGACUCCUACGGGAGGCAGCAGUGGGGAAUAUUGGACAAUGGGCGAAAGCCUGAUCCAGCCAUGCCGCGUGUGUGAAGAAGGUCUUCGGAUUGUAAAGCACUUUAAGUUGGGAGGAAGGGCAGUAAGUUAAUACCUUGCUGUUUUGACGUUACCAACAGAAUAAGCACCGGCUAACUUCGUG